GGCGUACUAAAUUAUAAUCCUGGUACCUUUGAUAACUUUUUAUGGGUGGAUUUAACAUACAUAAAUAAAAUUCAAAAAUAAGAAAGCAAUGAAUGAGGUUGUUAAAUUUAAUAUAUGCCUUUUUGUGCUUCUUUGUUAAAUAUUAGUUUGUUUUUAUUGUUAUUAAGAUACUUGUGGUACUUGAACAGCUUGUCAUUAUUGCUAAUGAUAUUGUCGUAUUCUUGUCUUUCAGUUUUGCUAAUGUGCUUUGUCUAUUUGCCUUUUGUGCUUCUUUUUUUAAUAUUUGGUUUUUUUUAGUGAUUAAGCUUAUAACAAAAUGUUGACUGCUGUAUUUUUAUCUAUUUUGUCUGUUUGUUUUGUCCAUGCAUCGUUGUCAAUAUAAUGUUAUUUGAUGCGGCUGUCAAAUAAGUGCGAGGUUUAGCUAGCUAUAAAACUAGGUUCAAUCCACCAUUUUCUACAUUAGGAAAUGCCUGUACCAAGUCAGGAAUGUGACAGUUGUUAUCCAUUCGUUUGAUGUGUUUGAGCCUUUGAUUUUGUCAUUUAAUUAGGGAAUUUCCAUUUUGAAUUUUCCUCGGAGUUCAGUAUUUUUGUGAUUUUACUUUAUGCAUUUGAACAUCGGUAAACUAUUGCUGACUCUAAUACAUAAUUUCCAAAACAAAAAGUUACAUACAAGAAACAGGACUAUAUUUAUACACUUAACAGAUGUCAUGC
rnacentral:lncRNA from 1 species